GAGUAUCUAGACAUAGUUCUCUCAGCAGGAUCUCCUUAUAAAUCUAUUCUAGGUUGUGUCUGAUAAGCCCAAAGAAACAAAACUCAAAUCUGUUAAAAAACAAAAUUCAACUGAGUAAAUUUUAAAGAUCCUAUUGGCUUUAUUUGAUGAUUCAUGAAUUAGGAAGCAUUCCCUCCAGCAGAUAAAAGGGAGUUCUCGGAGUUCCCCUCGUGGUGUAAUGGAAAAGAACCCCACUAGGAACCAUGAGGCCAGGGAUUGAACCCGCAUCCUCAUGGAUACUAGUCAGGUCCUUAACCCACUGAGCCACAAUGGGAACUCCUAGUAGCAGGCUUCCUUGAUGGUUUCUCCUUCUACUUGGCCAUUUAUAAGAUUCUCAGUUGAUCCACCCCACCUUUUCCUUCCCACCCACUGUUUUCCUUAUUCUGACUAUUGCAGUCCUCUACCUUAUACUGCUUACUGAAAUACUAUAUUCUCUCUUAAUUUUUGCAUGUCCAAGGCCUUAAUGGCCCCUCUAACUUCUCUCAAAGUCAUGAGUUCUCAGCUUCUACUCCUGUUGCUUAUGCUUUAUUCUUUCAGUACCUUUCAUUUCAUAUUUCUGAGGGAAAAUUGACUUUGCCCUGCAGGCUCACCCCCACUCCAGAAAUGUCAUGUCCUCACUUGUUGACUUGUUUAGAUAUUGACUGCCCUGAAGUUAGGAUUCCACCUCUGGUCCAGUUAAAUGUGUCUGGGAUCUGGUGGGAUUAGGAACGUGUCUUGAAACGUAUAAAUACCUAACACUGCCUUAUUAAUAGAGCUUGUGAAUGUGUGGAAGACUUGGUGAUAAGACAGGAUUUUUUACACAGUGUUGUGUGUCAUCUGGGGAUUUUAGUGAGUAUUAAAGUUUGUCAGUUUCUGGGUUCAUCAGUUCCCCAGAGGGGAAGCUUUUAACUUAGCUUUUGCAAGUUUAAAUUUUCUGGGCCUGCAUUCCACUUUUCAGUUUCCUAGUUCCCAGAUAACCGACCUCAUAGUAUGAAUUCUCAGGAUGAACCUCUUUCAAGGUAAAAUGUGUGAGAGAAGAGACCAUCUACUGGAAGAAAAACUGACUUUUAUUGCAGAACCUUCCAAAGAGUUGAGGAGGAAAAUAAAUUGGCUUAUUCUGAAGUUGGAGGCUAUUUAAAUAGAUUUUUCCAUAGCUUUUCUGUAUAGGGGAAGAGACUGGUCAGGUUAAAGUUGGUUUAUAGCAAUUAUAAGAUUGUGCUGAAUUUAGAUUUAUCUCUGGCUAUUUAUAUUUUGGGGUACUAUUGUAAAUGGUACUUUAAAAAUGUUAAUUUAUGGAGUUCCCAUCAUGGCUCAAUGGAUUAAGAACCCGAUACAGUGCCCAUGAGGAUGCAGGUUCAAUUUCUGGCCUUGAUCAGAGGGUUAAAGAUCCCACGUUGCUGCAAGCUACAGUGUGGGUUGCAAUUGUAGCUCAGAUCCAGCAUUGCAGCAGUUGUGGCAUAGGUUGGCAGCUGCUGCUCUGAUUUGACCCCUAGCCUGGGAACUUCCAUAUGUCUCAAGUGUGGCCCUAAAAGGAAAAAGAAAAGCCAAUUUGUUCCCUGCUAGUAUAUAGAAAUGUAUAUAUAUUUGUAUUUUGAUCUUGUAUCCCGUGUUCCUACUAAAUUAAUUUACUGAUUCUAGAAGCUUUAUUGUAGAUUCUUUAGGAUUUUCUACAUUGAUGGUUAUGUUGAGUGCAGAUAAAGGUCAUGUUAUGUCUUCCUGUUUAUCAGUAUGCCUUUUAUUUCUUUUUCUUACUACAUUGACUGACCCUAAGUAUGAUUUUGAAGUGAUAGGAUGAGAUUAGACAUCCUUGCCUUGUUUCUGAGUUUAAGGGAAGAUUGUACAUUCCCAUUAAUGGUAGGGUUUUUUGUUUGUUUGUUUGUUUGUUUUUGCCAUUUCUUGGGCCACUCCCAGGCUAUGGAGGUUCCCAGGCUAGGGGUCCAGUUGGAGCUGUAGCCACCAGCCUACGCCAGAGCCAGAGCAACUCAGGAUCUGAGCUGAGUCUGCAACCUACACCACAGCUUAUGGCAAUGUCGGAUCCUUAACCCACUGAGCAAGGCCAGGGAUUGAACCUGCAACCUCAUGGUUCCUAGUUGGAUUCGUUAACCACUGAGCCACGACAGGAACUCCAAUGGUAUGUUUUUUAUCAAUGCUUUUUAUUGAGUUGAGGAAGUUCCUUUUUAUCUCUAGUUUUCUGAGAGUUUUCAUCAUAAAUGGACAUUGGAUUUCAUUACAUACUUUUCGUGUGUCUUGUGAGAUGAUCAAUCAUGUGGGUUUUUUCUUUAGUCUACUGAUACAGUGGAUUACAUUAAUUGAUUUUUGAAUAUUGAAUCCCUCGUGCAUACUCUUAAUAAGUCCCACUUGGUCUCGAUGUGUUAUCCUUUUUUUAUAUUGCUAUAUUCACUUUGUUAGUAUUUUGUUACGGAUUUUGGUUUUGGCUUUGUCUUUGAGCUGUGGUCUUUUGUAUUGCUGUUACUGGGUUUGGUGUCAGUGUUAUGCUGGCCUCCUAAAAUUAGAUGGGGUAGUUCCCGAUGUGGUUCAGCGGUAACAAACCUGACCAGUAUCCAUGAGGAUGCAGGUUCGAUCUCUGGCCUCCCUCAGUGGGUUAAAGUUCUGGCGUUGCUUGUCAUGAGCUGUGACCCACUCAUGCCGUGGGCUGUGGUGUAGGUUACGACGCAGCUCGGAUCUGGCAUUGCUAUGCCUGUGGUGUAGGCCAGCAGCUGCAGCUCCAGUGUGACCCCUAGCCUGGGAGCAUCUAUAUGCUGCAGGUGUGGCACUAAAAAGCAAAAAGAAAAAAAAAA
ensembl:lncRNA